AACGAACGCUGGCGGCGUGCCUAACACAUGCAAGUCGAACGUGAUUGGAAGCUUGCUUCCAUGAAAGUGGCGCACGGGUGAGUAACGCGUAGAUAAUCUACCUGAUGGAUCGGGAUAACACUUCGAAAGAGGUGCUAAUACCGGAUAAGCCCACGGAGUCCUUGGACACUGCGGGAAAAGGGGGGCCUUCGGGCCUUCCGUCAUCAGAUGAGUCUGCGUACCAUUAGCUAGUUGGUAGGGUAAAGGCCUACCAAGGCGACGAUGGUUAGCUGGUCUGAGAGGAUGAUCAGCCACACUGGAACUGAGACACGGUCCAGACUCCUACGGGUGGCAG
rnacentral:rRNA from 1 species